rnacentral:rRNA from 1 species
GAUGAACGCUGGCGGUAUGCUUAACACAUGCAAGUCGAACGGACUCUUCGGAGUUAGUGGCGGACGGGUGAGUAACGCGUGAGAAUCUGGCUUUGGGUUCGGGACAACCACUGGAAACGGUGGCUAAUACCGGAUGUGCCGAGAGGUAAAAGAGAAAUUGCCUGAAGAUGAGCUCGCGUCUGAUUAGCUAGUUGGUGAGGUAAAGGCUCACCAAGGCAGCGAUCAGUAGCUGGUCUGAGAGGAUGACCAGCCACACUGGGACUGAGACACGGCCCAGACUCCUACGGGAGGCAGCAGUGGGGAUUUAUCCGCAAUGGGCGAAAGACUGACGGAGCUAUACCGCGUGAAGGAAGAAGGCUCUUGGGUUGUAAACCUCUUUUCGUAGGGAAGAACAAAUUGACGGUACCUAAGGAAUCAGCAUCGGCUAACUCCGUG